ACUACGGGUGGCAGCAGUGAGGAAUAUUGGUCAAUGGGCGUAAGCCUGAACCAGCCAAGUCGCGUGAGGGAUGAAGGUUCUAUGGAUCGUAAACCUCUUUUAUAAGGGAAUAAAGUGCGGGACGUGUCCCGUUUUGUAUGUACCUUAUGAAUAAGGAUCGGCUAACUCCGUGCCAGCAGCCGCGGUAAUACGGGGGAUCCGAGCGUUAUCCGGAUUUAUUGGGUUUAAAGGGUGCGUAGGCGGCCUUGUAAGGCAGCGGUGAAAGUCUGUGGCUCAACCAUAGAAUUGCCGUUGAAACUGGGAGUCUUGAGUAUGUUUGAGGCAGGCGGAAUGCGUGGUGUAGCGGUGAAAUGCUUAGAUAUCACGCAGAACCCCGAUUGCGAAGGCAGCCUGCCAAGCCAUGACUGACGCUGAUGCACGAAAGCGUGGGGAUCAAACAGGAUUAGAUACCCGGGUAGUC
rnacentral:rRNA from 1 species